AUUGAACGCUGGCGGCAGGCCUAACACAUGCAAGUCGAGCGGAUGAAGGGAGCUUGCUCCUGGAUUCAGCGGCGGACGGGUGAGUAAUGCCUAGGAAUCUGCCUGGUAGUGGGGGAUAACGUCCGGAAACGGGCGCUAAUACCGCAUACGUCCUGAGGGAGAAAGUGGGGGAUCUUCGGACCUCACGCUAUCAGAUGAGCCUAGGUCGGAUUAGCUAGUUGGUGGGGUAAAGGCCUACCAAGGCGACGAUCCGUAACUGGCCUGAGAGGAUGAUCAGUCACACUGGAACUGAGACACGGUCCAGACUCCUACGGGAGGCAGCAGUGGGGAAUAUUGGACAAUGGGCGAAAGCCUGAUCCAGCCAUGCCGCAUGUGUGAAGAAGGUCUUCGGAUUGUAAAGCACUUUAAGUUGGGAGGAAGGGCAGUAAGUUAAUACCUUGCUGUUUUGACGUUACCAACAGAAUAAGCACCGGCUAACUUCGUG
rnacentral:rRNA from 1 species